GACGAACGCUGGCGGCGUGCUUAACACAUGCAAGUCGAACGAUGAACCCGGAGCUUGCUCCGGUGGAUUAGUGGCGAACAGGUGAGUAACACGUGAGUAACCUGCCCUUGACUCUGGGAUAACUGCGGGAAACUGUAGCUAAUACCGGAUACGACCCUCGGCGGCAUCGCCAGGGGGUGGAAAGAAUUUCGGUCAAGGAUGGACUCGCGGCCUAUCAGCUAGUUGGUGAGGUAACGGCUCACCAAGGCGACGACGGGUAGCCGGCCUGAGAGGGUGACCGGCCACACGGGGACAGAGACACGGCCCAGACUCCUACGGGAGGCAGCAGCGGGGAAUAUUGCACAAUGGGCGCAAGCCUGAUGCAGCAACGCCGCGUGAGGGAUGACGGCCUUCGGGUUGUAAACCUCUUUUAGUAGGGAAGAAGCGAAAGUGACGGUACCUGCAGAAAAAGCACCGGCUAACUACGUGCCAGCAGCCGCCGUA
rnacentral:rRNA from 1 species